GACGAACGCUGGCGGCGUGCUUAACACAUGCAAGUCGAACGGAAGGGCCUGCUUUCCCUUGUGGAUUGCGGGUACUCGAGUGGCGAACGGGUGAGUAACACGUGAGUGAUCUGCCCCCAACUUGGGUAUAAGCCUGGGAAACUGGGUCUAAUUCCCGAUAGGACUGCAGGGUGGUGCCUGUGGUGGAAAACGAUUUUCUAGUGGUUGGGGAUGAGCUCGCGGCCUAUCAGCUUGUUGGUGGGGUAAUGGCCUACCAAGGCGGCGACGGGUAGCCGGCCUGAGAGGGUGGACGGCCACAUUGGGACUGAGAUACGGCCCAGACUCCUACGGGAGGCAGCAGUGGGGAAUAUUGCACGAUGGGCGGAAGCCUGAUGCAGCGACGCCGCGUGGGGGAUGACGGCCUUCGGGUUGUAAACUCCUUUCGACCGCGAGGAAGCCACCUGGUUGGAAGGGUGGUGACGGUAGUGGUAGAAGAAGCACCGGCUAACUACGUG
rnacentral:rRNA from 1 species